GCGCCCAUAGCUUAACGGAUAGAGUUGCGGCUUGCGGAGCCGUAGAUCCCAGUUCGAUUCUGGGUGGGCGCGCCA
rnacentral:tRNA from 1 species